rnacentral:rRNA from 1 species
UGUGGGGACACGUGUGGAGAGCACAAGCCGGAAAUGGAAAAGCCGGUGCAAGCGAGGUAGGAGUACAGUAGGCAAAUCCGCUGUACAAUCCGAAGACGUGAUGCGGACCGAAUUAAGAGUAGGGAAGUGUGUGAGCCAUGCGUCAAGAAAAGCCGCUAUUGUUUUACUUAAGCCCGUACCGUAAACCGACACAGGUGGAUGAGGAGAGAAUCCUAAGGCCGACGGGAGAAGCAUUGUUAAGGAACUCGGCAAAAUGACUCCGUAACUUCGGGAGAAGGAGUGCCAGCGAGAGCUGGCCGCAGAGAAUUGGCCCAAGCAACUGUUUAGCAAAAAACACAGGUCUAUGCAAAACCGUAAGGUGAAGUAUAUGGGCUGACGCCUGCCCGGUGCUGGAAGGUUAAGAGGAGAGGUUAGCGGCAACGCGAAGCUUUGAAUUUAAGCCCCAGUAAACGGCGGCCGUAACAAUAACGGUCCUAAGGUAGCGAAAUUCCUUGUCGGGUAAGUUCCGACCCGCACGAAAGGCGUAAUGAUUUGGGCACUGUCUCAACAAUGCACCCGGUGAAAUUGAAAUACCAGUGAAGAUGCUGGUUACCUGCGCCAGGACGGAAAGACCCCAUGGAGCUUUACUCCAGCUUGAUACUGGGAUUCGGUAUUGCAUGUACAGGAUAGGUGGGAGGCUAGGAAGUGAUAACGCCAGUUGUCACGGAGCCGCUGUUGGGAUACCACCCUUGCAGUAUUGGAUUUCUAACCAGCGACCAUGAACUGGUCGGGGGACAAUGUCAGGUGGGGAGUUUGACUGGGGCGGUCGCCUCCGAAAGGGUAUCGGAGGCGCUCAAAGGUUCCCUCAGAAUGGACGGAAACCAUUCGAAGAGUGCAAAGGCAGAAGGGAGCUUGACUGCGACACCGACGGGUGGAGCAGGUACGAAAGUAGGACUUAGUGAUCCGGUGGUAUAAAGUGGGAUUGCCAUCGCUCAACGGAUAAAAGCUACCCUGGGAUAACAGGCUUAUCACUCCCAAGAGUUCACAUCGACGGAGUGGUUUGGCACCUCGAUGUCGGCUCAUCGCAUCCUGGGGCUGAAGUAGGUCCCAAGGGUUGGGCUGUUCGCCCAUUAAAGCGGUACGCGAGCUGGGUUCAGAACGUCGUGAGACAGUUCGGUCCCUAUCCGGCGUGGGCGUAGGAUAUUUGAGAGGAGCUGUCCUUAGUACGAGAGGACCGGGAUGGACUGGCCGCUGGUGUAUCUGUUGCAUACCAAAUGCAUGGCAGAGUAGCCAAGCCGGGACGGGAUAAACGCUGAAGGCAUCUAAGCGUGAAGCCCCCCUCAAGAUGAGAUAUCCCUACGUAAGUAGUAAGACCCCUUGAAGACGACGAGGUAGAUAGGUCAGAGGUGGAAGUACAGUAAUGUAUGGAGCUGACUGAUACUAAUCGGUCGAGGGCAUGACCG